rnacentral:rRNA from 1 species
CUCUUCUCUCUGGUCUCACUUCGAGUCCUUCUAGAAGUAAAUAAAGUAAAUGCUUAUUCAACUACGGCACUGUCAGACAAUCGACCGGAUUCAAGCCCUAGCCCCUCAACUUGGACGGACUUGUGGAAAUCCUCGAAAACAAGUAUUGCUCACCUCACCUAUCUAUAA